AUUGAUUUUUAAAUUUUUUUUGCAUUUCUUGUCCUGGUGUCCUUGUGGAUGAUCUUGGUGUGUAUGUGUACCCUCCUCUCUCUCUCUCCUCUCUCUCUCUGCUUUUCCUCCUUUCGUUUUCUCCUUCUCUCCCCUUCUUUACGUCAUCUCAGAUUUUGAACAUUACAAGAUGUGCUGUGGUGAAACUUCAAAAAUGUUGAGUUGUGACAGCCGCACUCAAUGUUUUUGGAAGUGUUAAUCUGAAUUUUUUUUUGUUUUUUAAAAAUUUUACUAGCUUCUCUUUGGAUAAAUGUGGGGUGGGCUGUAUUUUUUUUAAAUUUUUUUUUGAAGCCCGAUACUUAACUGUAUUUUACCCUUGUGUCUUCCUUUAGACAUCUGAGGAGAAGGAUUAAAGUGAUUUGGAAUAAAACCAUUGUGGAGCACAUUUCAUUUGUAUGGUCAGGAUACAAAUAGGACAUCUAGGAGGAGGAUAGGACAUCUAGGACCAAUCAGGUCGAGGCAAUGGUUUUGAUUGGAGGAGUGGCUCAAUGGAUCCCAAUCCUUGGAGCUGGAUGAGUGGAUCGAUUAGGGAAGGGAUAGGCAAGGAUGGAUGCUCGGGAACGGGAGCAGAGUUUCCAGGAUUCAAAUUUAUCAGAACAAAAAUAAUGGGAGUCCCAGAGCACCUUUUUUUUUUUUUUUUUUUUUUCCCCUUUUUGGUUUAGGCCCCAAUGGCUUUAAUAUAGAAGAAAACGAAACAGAGGACCAGGAAGUUGGAUCAAAGGAUGGAGUCGUAGAUGUCCGGUAUGAGGGAAUUUAAAAAAAAAUAUGGGGAGGUUGGGAGAGGGUUAAAAUCUGGGAAAAGUUUGUAAUUUUUUUGCUUUGCAUAAUCUUUCUUUUAGCAUUUUCAAUAAACACACUUUCAAACAUA